GCCAGGUGUGGUGGCAGGCACCUGUAAUCCCAGCUACUCAGGAGGCUGAGGCAGGAGAAUCGCUUGAACCCGGGAAGUGGAGGUUGCAGUGAGCCGAGAUCGUGCCACUGCACUCCAGCCUGGGUAACAGAGUGAGACUCUGCCUCAA
ensembl:misc_RNA Metazoa_SRP Metazoan signal recognition particle RNA